rnacentral:rRNA from 1 species
UCCGGUGAUUUUAGCGGAGGAGAGACACCUGUUCCCAUACCGAACACAGUAGUUAAGCCCUCUAGCGCCGAUGAUACUGCACGGUAGUUUGUGUGGGAAAGUAGGUCAUUGCCGGGA